ensembl:lncRNA
UAUAAAGUCCCUAGCAGAAAAUACAAGUCCUCCACCAUUGCCUGCAUCCCCUACAGUCGUGUUCUAUUCUAACGCAAUUGACUGUGUGCUUUCCCUGAACUCAUUCUAUGCUUUCAUCCCUUCUUGUCUUUUUUGUACCAAAUCUUCUCAAAAUUCCUUUCUCUUCUUUUUUCACCUCAACGCCUAUUCCCACCUCAAGGCCCAGCUCAAAUGUUACCACUUCUGUUAAGUCUCCUCUCGCAUGAUUCCUGGCGGAGUCUUUCGUUGCUUUCUUUGUGCAUCUGCAGCGUGGUCUUCAUGUUUGUCUAACAGCGAGUGCACCACAUUGUUUUUCAGCUGCCCUCUUACUAGACUGUGAAUGUUGAGAGCAAGAACAGUUAGCAAAUCAGCACAUUUAUUGAGAAAAAUCCUCCUAUUUGUGAGGCAUUGUGCUGGGGAUCAGAGCAGCAGCAGGGAAUGACUGAGGCUGGCGUCCAACAGCAUCUGUUGGGGUAGACAGAUGUGCAGCAAAUUAAUUUAGCAAGUAGUCGUUUAAAUACAUUUGUGAUAAGUGGGACAAAGGAAAAACAUGGGAUGCUAUGAGAACAAGGAACAGGGAAAUCCACCUGCACCUGAUGGGGCUGAGACAGCUUCCCUGGAGAAAAGACCUUUAAACCAAGAAAGAGAAGAGUUAACCAGGUGAAGAAUGCGGCGAGGAGAGAUACCAGGCAGAAGGAAUAACGCGUGAGGACGCCCUGCCAUAAGAAAGCCUGAAAUCCUGGAAGACCUGAAAUAAAACAAACAAACUUGAAUACAGACACAACAUGGGCGUGAGGCAUGGUGAGGAAAGGGAAGAUGGCUGUCAGAUGACGCUCUGGAUACCAGUUAGUGACUACAGAAUCGAUUUAUGAAAGAAGGAGCUCCCUCCUUAACAUGAAGAGGAACAAUUUGCUCUGGGAAUAAAGAAGGAUGAUUUCCCUGCAGUUGGAGACGGACAGCGUCAGCAAAGAGUGCUGGAGUCCCAGAAACGGCUGGGAACUGGGAUGGCUUGUCUUGGGGAAGCUUCUCUCACUGCCCUCCUGCAGCCCAGCAUCCUGAGGACCCUGCUUGCCGUCCCAGGGAGGCUGUUUCUCAGAGCAUGGGAAAAGGAUUUCCUCGCUCAGGAGGGGAGCUUCUUCCCCAGACAGCUUCUGUCUGAGUCUGCCCCUGGCUGUGAAUGUCAGCAGAGCAGUGGGACCAGGCCACCUUGACCUGCACGCCAGCAUCACUGUCUCCAGAAGAACCGCCCUGCAUGUGCAUAUCAGAGCUUCAGCGCCCAGGCACUUCCAGCCUUGUGCUGCACGCAGGCCCAGCAGGAAAGGCUCCAAGGCAGAGAGUGGCAGGUGCAUGCAAUCAAGGUCACCAGUAUGCAAGGGAACGGUGGGAGCCAUAGGCAGGGACCUGACAGGACCUGCCAUAGGUUCCCUUCCUUCUUUUCUUCUUUCCUUCCGUCCUUCCUUCCUUCAUUCCUUCUGUUCUUCUAACUUCCUUUGAGGGAAGUUGUAGAUAUGUACAAAUUUGCCUGAAAAAGGAAACCAAAUUGAGAAGUCUAGGAAAAUAAAUAAAUAAAUCCGAAGAGGGGAGAAAACCA